CCUACGGGAGGCUGCAGUGGGGAAUUUUGGACAAUGGGGGCAACCCUGAUCCAGCCAUGCCGCGUGAGUGAAGAAGGCCUUCGGGUUGUAAAGCUCUUUCGGCCGGGAAGAAAUCGCGCCAGCUAAUACCUGGUGUGGAUGACGGUACCGGAAGAAGAAGCACCGGCUAACUACGUGCCAGCAGCCGCGGUAAUACGUAGGGUGCGAGCGUUAAUCGAAGUUUCUGGAGGUGAAGCGUGCACACACGGGUGAAAUCCCCGGGCUUAACCUGGGAACUGCGCUUGUGACUGCAAGACUUGAGUGCGGCAGAGGGGGGUGGAAUUCCACGGGUAGCAGUGAAAUGCGUAGAGAUGUGGAGGAACACCGAUGGCGAAGGCAGCCCCCUGGGUCGACACUGACGCUCAUGCACGAAAGCGUGGGGAGCAAACAGGAUUAGAUACCCGUGUAGUC
rnacentral:rRNA from 1 species